rnacentral:tRNA from 1 species
GAGGGCAUAGCUCAGGGGCAGGGGGCGUGCUUAGCAUGCACGAGGUCCUGGGUUCAAUCCCCGGUACCUCUA